UGCAGCCGCUCCCAGAAGCAGCUGUAGCCACUACGGAAGCAGCUGCAGAGAUCGCUACUAUGGGCCUGUGCUUGCAGGGGGGGGCACUGGCGCUCCCACCUGCCCCCCCGCCCAUCGCCUACACGUGGCUGUGAACUAACCGCCAAGACUUGAUUUAUUUCCUGAAAUUGCACGUGAUGAAAGAGGAGUUUGCUGUGGUCCAGGUUUGGCAGUCAAUACCUAUUCAGACAAGCAUGGAAGUACACAUCUAAAGAUAAGCAUACGCUUAUGUGCUUAACUGAACAGAAGUGUUAAAAGAUUUUUUUUAAACAUCAACCCAAUUUGUAACUUUA